rnacentral:rRNA from 1 species
UACGUAGGGGGCAAGCGUUGUCCGGAAUUAUUGGGCGUAAAGAGCGUGUAGGCGGUUCGAUAAGUUUGCUGUAAAAGUCGGGGGCUCAACCCCCGAAAGCCGGUGAAUACUGUCGGACUAGAGUACGGAAGAGGCGAGUGGAAUUCCCGGUGUAGCGGUGAAAUGCGCAGAUAUCGGGAAGAACACCUAUGGCGAAGGCAGCUCUCUGGGACGGUACUGACGCUGAGACGCGAAAGCGUGGGGAGCGAACAGG